GUGCUCACUUUGGCAGCACAUAUACUAAAAUUGGAACAACACAGAGAAGAUUAGCAAGACCCUUGUGCAAGGGUAAUCCACAAAUUAGUGAAGCAUUGCAUAUUUUU